GACGGAGGGCGCGAGCGUUGUUCGGAAUUACUGGGCGUAAAGCGCGCGCAGGCGGAUAGGCAAGUCGGAAGUGAAAUCCUGGGGCUCAACCCUGGGACUGCUCCCGAUACUGCUUGUCUAGGGACCGGUAGAGGCCGGUGGAAUUGCUGGUGUAGCGGUGGAAUGCGUAGAGAUCAGCAAGAACACCUGUGGCGAAGGCGGCCGGCUGGGCCGGAUCCGACGCUGAGGCGCGAAAGCGUGGGGAGCAAACAGG
rnacentral:misc_RNA from 1 species